UACGUAGGGUGCAAGCGUUGUCCGGAUUUAUUGGGCGUAAAGAGCUCGUAGGCGGCCUGUCGCGUCGACCGUGAAAACCCGCAGCUCAACUGCGGGCUUGCGGUCGAUACGGGCAGGCUGGAGUUCGGUAGGGGAGACUGGAAUUCCUGGUGUAGCGGUGGAAUGCGCAGAUAUCAGGAGGAACACCGAUGGCGAAGGCAGGUCUCUGGGCCAUUACUGACACUGAGAAGCGAAAGCAUGGGGAGCGAACAGG
rnacentral:rRNA from 1 species